rnacentral:rRNA from 1 species
UACGUAGGGGGCGAGCGUUAUCCGGAGUUACUGGGCGUAAAGCGCACGCAGGCGGUCAGAUUAGUCUGCCGUGACAGUCGUCGGCUUAACUGACGAAGUACGGUGGAAACUGUCUGACUUGAGGGCUUCAGAGGGACACGGAAUUCCGGGUGGAGUGGUGAAAUGCGUAGAUAUCCGGAGGAACACCGAUGGCGAAGGCAGUGUCCUGGGAAGUACCUGACGCUCAGGUGCGAAAGCUAGGGGAGCGAACAGG